rnacentral:tRNA from 1 species
UCCCAGGUGGCUCAGUGGUAAAGAAUCUGCCUGAAAUGCAGGAGUCUUGGGUUUGAUCCCUGGGUUGGGAC